GACGAACGCUGGCGGCGUGCCUAAUACAUGCAAGUUGAGCGCUGAAGGUUGGUACUUGUACCAACUGGAUGAGCAGCGAACGGGUGAGUAACGCGUGGGGAAUCUGCCUUUGAGCGGGGGACAACAUUUGGAAACGAAUGCUAAUACCGCAUAAAAACUUUAAACACAAGUUUUAAGUUUGAAAGAUGCAAUUGCAUCACUCAAAGAUGAUCCCGCGUUGUAUUAGCUAGUUGGUGAGGUAAAGGCUCACCAAGGCGAUGAUACAUAGCCGACCUGAGAGGGUGAUCGGCCACAUUGGGACUGAGACACGGCCCAAACUCCUACGGGAGGCAGCAGUAGGGAAUCUUCGGCAAUGGACGAAAGUCUGUCCGAGCAACGCCGCGUGAGUGAAGAAGGUUUUCGGAUCGUAAAACUCUGUUGGUAGAGAAGAACGUUGGUGAGAGUGGAAAGCUCAUCAAGUGACGGUAACUACCCAGAAAGGGACGGCUAACUACGUG
rnacentral:rRNA from 1 species